CAGUAUGUUACUGUAUCAGGAGCCUUUAAUGUGUUGCAGGGGAAGCGUGACUGCAGACUUGCUCUUGGCUUUGGUGUGUGUGAUCCUGAGCUAAAGCCUUACAACUGCAAUUCUACAUCUCACACAGAGCUCCUGUUUAUGGUUUAUCAGGCCCAGCGUGUGGUUCUGGUUCUGUCAUUUCUGUCAGAGUCUCCCUUGAGCCCGUCUCAGGCUGUCCUCCUGUACCAGCGGUGCCACUUGCUCCUGACCUGCAUGCAGCACAACCCCUGUGUGAACACCUCCAUUAUUACAGAACUUAAAGAAGAGUUCAGGUGAGAGAGUCUGUUGUGGACGACUGGGUUUUAUAAGACGGUGUACAAGCCGAGACAAACAAAUGAGC